GACCUCUGACCUCAAAUCAGGUAGGAUUACCCGCUGAACUUAAGCAUAUCAAUAAGCGGAGGAAAAGAAACUAACAAGGAUUCCCCUAGUAACUGCGAGUGAAGCGGGAAAAGCUCAAAUUUAAAAUCUGGCGGUCUCUGGCCGUCCGAGUUGUAGUCUGGAGAAGUGCUUUCCGCGCUGGACCGUGUACAAGUCUCUUGGAACAGAGCGUCAUAGAGGGUGAGAAUCCCGUCUUUGACACGGACUACCAGUGCUUUGUGAUGCGCUCUCAAAGAGUCGAGUUGUUUGGGAAUGCAGCUCAAAAUGGGUGGUGAAUUCCAUCUAAAGCUAAAUAUUGGCGAGAGACCGAUAGCGAACAAGUACCGUGAGGGAAAGAUGAAAAGCACUUUGGAAAGAGAGUUAAACAGUACGUGAAAUUGCUGAAAGGGAAACGCUUGAAGUCAGUCACGUUGGCCGGAACUCAGCCUUGCUUUUGCUUGGUGCACUUUCCGGUUUGACGGGUCAGCAUCAGUUUUGAUCGUCGGAUAAAGGCUGGAGGAAUGUGGCACCUUCGGGUGUGUUAUAGCCUCCAGUCACAUACGACGGUUGGGACUGAGGAUCUCAGCACGCCUUUAUGGCCGGGGUUCGCCCACGUUCGUGCUUAGGAUGCUGGCAUAAUGGCUUUAAGCGACCCGUCUUGAAACACGGACCAAGGAGUCUAACAUACCUGCGAGUGUUUGGGUGGAAAACCCGAGCGCGUAAUGAAAGUGAAAGUUGAGAUCCCUGUCGUGGGGAGCAUCGACGCCCGGACCUGACGUUCUCUGACGGCUCCGCGGUAGAGCAUGUAUGCUGGGACCCGAAAGAUGGUGAACUAUGCCUGAAUAGGGUGAAGCCAGAGGAAAC
rnacentral:rRNA from 1 species